rnacentral:rRNA from 1 species
UAACCUGCGGAGGGAUCAUUACACAAAUAUGAAGGCGGGCUGGAACCUCUCGGGGUUACAGCCUUGCUGAAUUAUUCACCCUUGUCUUUUGCGUACUUCUUGUUUCCUUGGUGGGUUCGCCCACCACUAGGACAAACAUAAACCUUUUGUAAUUGCAAUCAGCGUCAGUAACAAAUUAAUAAUUACAACUUUCAACAACGGAUCUCUUGGUUCUGGCAUCGAUGAAGAACGCAGCGAAAUGCGAUAAGUAGUGUGAAUUGCAGAAUUCAGUGAAUCAUCGAAUCUUUGAACGCACAUUGCGCCCUUUGGUAUUCCAAAGGGCAUGCCUGUUCGAGCGUCAUUUGUACCCUCAAGCUUUGCUUGGUGUUGGGCGUCUUGUCUCUAGCUUUGCUGGAGACUCGCCUUAAAGUAAUUGGCAGCCGGCCUACUGGUUUCGGAGCGCAGCACAAGUCGCACUCUCUAUCAGCAAAGGUCUAGCAUCCAUUAAGCCUUUUUUCAACUUUUGACCUCGAUCAGGUAGUCCCGGUUCCCC